rnacentral:rRNA from 1 species
UGGGGAAUUUUGGACAAUGGGCGAAAGCCUGAUCCAGCAAUGCCGCGUGUGUGAAGAAGGCCUUCGGGUUGUAAAGCACUUUUGUCCGGAAAGAAAUCCUUGGCUCUAAUACAGUCGGGGGAUGACGGUACCGGAAGAAUAAGCACCGGCUAACUACGUGCCAGCAGCCGCGGUAAUACGUAGGGUGCAAGCGUUAAUCGGAAUUACUGGGCGUAAAGCGUGCGCAGGCGGUUUGCUAAGACCGAUGUGAAAUCCCCGGGCUCAACCUGGGAACUGCAUUGGUGACUGGCAGGCUAGAGUAUGGCAGAGGGGGGUAGAAUUCCACGUGUAGCAGUGAAAUGCGUAGAGAUGUGGAGGAAUACCGAUGGCGAAGGCAGCCCCCUGGGCCAAUACUGACGCUCAUGCACGAAAGCGUGGGGAGCAAAACAGGAUUNGAUACCCUGGUAGUCCACGCCCUAAACGAUGUCAACUAGUUGUUGGGGAUUCAUUUCCUUAGUAACGUAGCUAACGCGUGAAGUUGACCGCCUGGGGAGUACGUCGCAAGAUU